AGUGAACGCUGGCGGCAGGCCUAACACAUGCAAGUCGAGCGGCAGCACGGGGGCAACCCUGGUGGCGAGCGGCGGACGGGUGAGGAACACAUCGGAAUCUACCCUGUCGUGGGGGACAACGUAGGGAAACUUACGCUAAUACCGCAUGAUCUGGAGACAGCAAAGCCGGGGACCUUCGGGCCUGGCGCGAUGGGAUGAGCCGAUGUCCGAUUAGCUAGUUGGCGGGGUAAGAGCCCACCAAGGCGACGAUCGGUAGCUGGUCUGAGAGGACGACCAGCCACACUGGAACUGAGACACGGUCCAGACUCCUACGGGAGGCAGCAGUGGGGAAUAUUGGACAAUGGGGGCAACCCUGAUCCAGCCAUGCCGCGUGGGUGAAGAAGGCCUCGGUUGUAAGACCUUUGUACGGUAAGAAAGUACGUCGGUGACGAUCCGGCGAUGCUGACGGUACCGUAAGAAUAAGCACCGGCUAACUUACGUGCCACGCAGCCGCGGU
rnacentral:rRNA from 1 species